GACGAACGCUGGCGGCGUGCUUAACACAUGCAAGUCGAACGGUUCUGCCCUGUUUUUUGCGGGGUGGGUCAGUGGCGAACGGGUGAGUAACACGUGAGUAACCUGCCCCUCACUUCUGGAUAACCGCUUUAAAGUGUUGCUAAUACGGGGUUUUCUGGCUGUGCCGCAUGGUGUGGCUGGUAACGAUUCACUUUUGUGUUGUUUUGGUGGGGGAUGUGCUCGCGGCCUAUCAGGUUGUUGGUGGGGUGAUGGCCUGCGAAGGCUUUGACGGGUAGCCGGCCGGAGAGGGUGAGCGGUAAGAGUGGGACGGAGAGACGGAACAGACUACGGGGGGAAGCAGCAGUGGAUGGUAUUGAACAAGGGGCGGAAGGCUGAUGCAGCGACGUGGCGUGAGGGAAGGAGGUCUUCGUGUUGUGAACCUCUUUAGCCGGUGAAGAAGGUUCUGCUCUUUGUGGUGGGGUUGAACGUAACCGUGUUAUGAAGCGCCGGCUAACUACGUG
rnacentral:rRNA from 1 species